ensembl:snRNA U2 U2 spliceosomal RNA
AUCACUUCUCAGCCUUUUGACUAAGAUCACGUGUGGUAUUUGUUCUUUUCAACUUAAUAUUGGACAUGGCCUCUAAUCAGGACAGUGGAUUCAACUGUUUUGAAACACCGAGAAUGAAUAAUAGGAGCUUGCGCCAUCCAUCCCACGCAUCAGCCUGGUAUGCGGUGCUUCCAGGAAUGGUGCACUCUUC